GGCGCGUAGGCUGUGCUGUAAGUCAGGCGUGAAAGGCCCGGGCUCAACCUGGGAACUGCGUUUGAUACUGCGGCGCUGGAAUGCAGGAGAGGAUGGCGGAAUUCCCAGUGUAGAGGUGAAAUUCGUAGAUAUUGGGAAGAACACCGGUGGCGAAGGCGGCCAUCUGGCCUGCAAUUGACGCUGAGGCGCGAAAGCGUGGGGAGCAAACAGGAUUAGAUACCCUGGUAGUCCACGCUGUAAACGAUGAGUGCUAGACGUCGGGGAGCUUGCUCUUCGGUGUCGCCGCUAACGCAUUAAGCACUCCGCCUGGGGAGUACGGUA
rnacentral:rRNA from 1 species